rnacentral:rRNA from 1 species
UACGGGGGGGGCAAGCGUUGUUCGGAAUUACUGGGCGUAAAGGGCUCGUAGGCGGCCAACUAAGUCAGACGUGAAAUCCCUCGGCUUAACCGGGGAACUGCGUCUGAUACUGGAUGGCUUGAGUUUGGGAGAGGGAUGCGGAAUUCCAGGUGUAGCGGUGAAAUGCGUAGAUAUCUGGAGGAACACCGGUGGCGAAGGCGGCGUCCUGGACCAAUACUGACACUGAGUGAGCGAAAGCCAGGGGAGCAAACGGG